rnacentral:rRNA from 1 species
GCAUAUCAAUAAGCGGAGGAAAAGAAACUAACAAGGAUUCCCCUAGUAACUGCGAGUGAAGCGGGAAAAGCUCAAAUUUAAAAUCUGGCGGUCUUUGGCCGUCCGAGUUGUAAUCUAGAGAAGUGUUAUCCGCGCUGGACCGUGUACAAGUCUCCUGGAAUGGAGCGUCAUAGAGGGUGAGAAUCCCGUCUUUGACACGGACUGCCAGGGCUUUGUGAUGCGCUCUCAAAGAGUCGAGUUGUUUGGGAAUGCAGCUCAAAAUGGGUGGUAAAUUCCAUCUAAAGCUAAAUAUUGGCGAGAGACCGAUAGCGAACAAGUACCGUGAGGGAAAGAUGAAAAGAACUUUGGAAAGAGAGUUAAACAGUACGUGAAAUUGCUGAAAGGGAAACGCUUGAAGUCAGUCGCAUUGUCUGGGAAUCAACCUUGCUUUUGCUGGGCGUACUUUCCAGAUGAUGGGUCAGCAUCAAUUUUGACCGUUGGAUAAAGUCCGAAGGAAUGUGGCAUCUUCGGGUGUGUUAUAGCCUUUGGUCGCAUACAACGGUUGGGAUUGAGGAACUCAGCACGCCGAAAGGCCGGGUACUUGUACUACGUUCGUGCUUAGGAUGCUGGCAUAAUGGCUUUAAUCGACCCGUCUUGAAACACGGACCAAGGAGUCUAACAUGCCUGCGAGUAUUUGGGUGGAAAACCCGAGUGCGUAAUGAAAGUGAAAGUUGAGAUCCUUGUCAUGGGGAGCAUCGACGCCCGGACCAGAACUUUUGUGACGGAUCUGCGGUAGAGCAUGUAUGUUGGGACCCGAAAGAUGGUGAACUAUGCCUGAAUAGGGUGAAGCCAGAGGAAACUCUGGUGGAGGCUCGUAGCGAUUCUGACGUGCAAAUCGAUCGUCAAAUUUGGGGUAUAGGGGGCGAAAGACUAAUCGAACCAUCUAGUAGCUGGGUUCCUGCCGAGCCCUC